CCUACGGGAGACUGCAGUGGGGAAUAUUGGACAAUGGGGGGAACCCUGAUCCAGCCAUGCCGCGUGUGUGAAGAAGGCCCUCGGGUUGUAAAGCACUUUCAGUGAGGAAGAACGCCUGGUGGUUAAUACCCAUCAGGAAAGACAUCACUCACAGAAGAAGCACCGGCUAACUCCGUGCCAGCAGCCGCGGUAAUACGGAGGGUGCGAGCGUUAAUCGGAAUUACUGGGCGUAAAGCGCGCGUAGGUGGCUUGAUAAGCCGGUUGUGAAAGCCCCGGGCUCAACCUGGGAACGGCAUCCGGAACUGUCAAGCUAGAGUGCAGGAGAGGAAGGUAGAAUUCCCGGUGUAGCGGUGAAAUGCGUAGAGAUCGGGAGGAAUACCAGUGGCGAAGGCGGCCUUCUGGACUGACACUGACACUGAGGUGCGAAAGCGUGGGUAGCAAACAGGAUUAGAUACCCUAGUAGUC
rnacentral:rRNA from 1 species